AUAUCAAUAAGCGCAGGAAAAGAAACCAACAGGGAUUGCCUCAGUAACGGCGAGUGAAGCGGCAACAGCUCAAAUUUGAAAUCUGGCCUCUCGGGGUCCGAGUUGUAAUUUGUAGAGGAUGUUUUGGGUACCGCCCCGGUUUAAAUUUCUUGGAACAGAACGUCAAAGAGGGUGAGAAUCCCGUCUUGGACCGGCGGUAGGGCCUAUGUAAAACUCCUUCGACGAGUCGAGUUGUUUGGGAAUGCAGCUCAAAAUGGGUGGUAAAUUUCAUCUAAAGCUAAAUAUUGGCCAGAGACCGAUAGCGCACAAGUAGAGUGAUCGAAAGAUGAAAAGCACUUUGAAAAGAGAGUUAAACAGUAUGUGAAAUUGUUGAAAGGGAAGCGCUUGCAACCAGACUUGCGCGCGGCGGUUCCCCUAGCCUUUUGGCUAGGUUACUCCGCCGUGUCCAGGCCAACAUCGGUUCUGAGGGUCGGUCAAAGGCCUUGGGAAUGUAUCUACCUACGGGUAGACUUAUAGACCAGGGUGUCAUGCGGCCUCUCGGGACCGAGGAACGCG
rnacentral:rRNA from 1 species